rnacentral:rRNA from 1 species
GUGGGGAAUAUUGGACAAUGGGCGGAAGCCUGAUCCAGCAACGCCGCGUGAGGGAUGACUGCCUUCGGGUUGUAAACCUCUUUCAGUACCGACGAAGCGAGAGUGACGGUAGGUACAGAAGAAGCACCGGCCAACUACGUGCCAGCAGCCGCGGUAAUACGUAGGGUGCGAGCGUUGUCCGGAAUUAUUGGGCGUAAAGGGCUCGUAGGCGGUUUGUCGCGUCGGGAGUGAAAACCUCAUGCUUAACAUGUGGCUUGCUUUCGAUACGGGCAGACUAGAGGUAUGCAGGGGAGAACGGAAUUCCUGGUGUAGCGGUGAAAUGCGCAGAUAUCAGGAGGAACACCGGUGGCGAAGGUGGUUCUCUGGGCAUUACCUGACGCUGAGGAGCGAAAGUGUGGGGAGCGAACAGGAUUAGAUACCCCAGUAGUCC